rnacentral:rRNA from 1 species
UACGUAGGGUGCGAGCGUUGUCCGGAAUUAUUGGGCGUAAAGAGCUCGUAGGCGGUCUGUCGCGUCGAUCGUGAAAACUUGGGGCUUAACCCUGAGCUUGCGGUCGAUACGGGCAUGACUGGAGUUCGGCAGGGGAGACUGGAAUUCCUGGUGUAGCGGUGAAAUGCGCAGAUAUCAGGAAGAACACCGGUGGCGAAAGCGUUCUGCUAGACCUGUACUGACACUGAGGGACGAAAGCUAGGGGAGCGAAUGGG